rnacentral:pre_miRNA from 10 species
AGUUUGGAGCUGUAAACAUCCCCGACUGGAAGCUGUCACUCAGUAAAGCUUUCAGUCUGAUGUUUGCACCCGCCAACUGUCU